GGCCCAGCGGGCGGGGCCCACAGACGCGGCCCCGGCGGCCAUAUUGCUGUCUCGCCUUUCCCUUCCGACCGCUUCUUCCUUCCCGCCGCCCCCGGAGGAUUCUCUACCCUAUGGUGCAGACGAAAAAGCAAGUAGCAACUGGACAGGAGAGAAAUGGCUUUGAAACAGAUUUCCAGCAACAAGUGCUUUGGAGGAUUACAAAAAGUGUUUGAACAUGACAGUGUUGAGCUGAACUGCAAAAUGAAAUUUGCUGUGUACCUACCACCAAAGGCAGAAACUGGAAAAUGCCCCGCACUCUACUGGCUGUCUGGACAGUUUCCUUAGUGAGAUGCUGAAGAACAGAUAGACCUUGGAAAUUAAGGCUUGAUUUUCUGAGAAAAGAUAAGAUUGCCUGACCAGUGCACUUGAGAAAUGAUGACAACAGAAUUUCAGGUUUACUUCUGGUGAGUUUAAGGAAGGUGGAGACAGAAAGAUUAGAUCAGUUGGUAAAUUAGCUGAACUUGAACAAUAUGCAAACUGAAAUCCUAAAAGAUGAUCCAGAUGGAGUGAUUUGCAUCUUCCCCAAGCCAAGGCAACCUUAAAAACAGCCGUAGAUACCCAAGAGAAAUGACACAGGUACACACAGAAUCCCCUACACCAAUAUUCAUUGCUGUAUUCACAAUAGCCCAAAAAUGGAAACCACCCAAAUGUCCAUCACCCAAUGAAUGGAUAAAUACAAUGUGGUAUAUCAGCAACAGAAAGGAAUGAAGCACUGAUACAUGAUACAACAUGGGUAUACCUUGAAGGUAGUCACAAAAGAUCACAAGUUUUAGAAUUCCAUUUAUGUGAGGGGUGUAGAAUAGACAGAAACAUUAGUGGUUGCCUAGGGUUAGGGAGUUUGGAGGGGAAAUGGGGAUGUGCUGCUAAUAUAUACAGGGUUUCUUUUUGGAGUGAUGAAAAUGUUGUACAAGGAAUACACUAAAAAUCAUUAAGUUGUACAUUUUAAAUAGGUGAGUUGUUUGGUAUGUGUAUUGUAUCUUGAAGCUGUUAGCAAAAAAGAAAAAGGUCUUUAUAUAAAAUAAGUACAGUUGAUCAAGUAGAUUUUAAUUAAUAACCAUCUUCAUACACUGGAGAGCAGUUUUCAGUAGAAUGUGCUUCAUUUUCAUGAAGCUACAGCUCACUGUCUCCUACUGUAAUCAAGGAACUUGUGUCCUAACUAGAAAAUUACCAGAUUCUUCCCUGAACUCUAGCAGAUUCACAUUUCCCAAGUGUGAUACGCUGUGUAUUAUGUCCCAGACCCCACUCCAGGCUCUUUAUAUCCUUGAUGACCCUUAGUCCUCACAGCCACCUUAUGUGGUAGAAUAGAGACAAUACUGUCCUCAUUUUUCAAGUGAAAAAACUGAAGGGUCAAAAUAUUGAAGUUAUUUCUCCCAUGUUGGUCAGAUGGAAAGUGGCUGAGCUGCACUUGGAACCAGAUCCUGUGUGUAAUCCAAAGCCUUUGCUUUUUACACUACUCCCCUGCUGUCUCUGGACCUGUUUAUUUUGAGAUCAGCAAUUUUGUCAGGACUUGGGGCAGUUCACCACCACGAUAUGGCCCUGGAAUCUCUGGAUGGCAUUUCAGAGAGAAACAUACUGAACAGACAAGGGUCUUGAGGUUCUGCCAUGACUGGUGAAAAUCUGUAUGUCUUACAAGUGUUUAUUUAACCACAGACUCCCUUAAUACUUUCUCCAGUGAGACUUGUAACUUUAUAUCUUGUCAUUAUUUAUUAACAAGUUUGGAUUAAGCAGUCACUUCAUAAGCCUCUGUGCUAGUUGUUACCAUGAGACCGACCAUUCGUGAAACCGUGGCAGCUAUAGUUAAUUCCCAUUGCAUCAUGCAUAUCAGUAGGCUUUGAUGUUGCACUUAGCAGCUAGGGUGGGAUAGUUAGCAUUCGCCCCUGGAAGAGGGCUGAUGGUUUAGUGGGUUUUAAGCCCAAGCAUCUAUUCCCAGUUCAUUCUUGACCAUUUUCAUAUCAUUAUGGUAUUAGGCUCCUAUCAUGAGGGAAUUAAGUCAUCUCCAUCACAUAAAUGAGAAUAGAACUAGGAAAA